GACGAACGCUGGCGGCGUGCUUAACACAUGCAAGUCGAACGAAGAGCGAUGGAAGCUUGCUUCUAUCAAUCUUAGUGGCGAGCGGGUGAGUAACGCGUAAUCAACCUGCCCUUCAGAGGGGGACAACAGUUGGAGACGACUGCUAAUACCGCAUACGAUCUAAUCUCGGCAUCGAGGAAAGAUGAAAGGUGGCCUCUAUUUAUAAGCUAUCACUGAAGGAGGGGAUUGCGUCUGAUUAGCUAGUUGGAGGGGUAACGGCCCACCAAGGCGAUGAUCAGUAGCCGGUCUGAGAGGAUGAACGGCCACAUUGGGACUGAGACACGGCCCAGACUCCUACGGGAGGCAGCAGUGGGGAAUCUUCCGCAAUGGACGAAAGUCUGACGGAGCAACGCCGCGUGAGUGAUGACGGCCUUCGGGUUGUAAAGCUCUGUUAAUCGGGACGAAAGGCCUUCUUGCGAACAGUUAGAAGGAUUGACGGUACCGGAAUAGAAAGCCACGGCUAACUACGUG
rnacentral:rRNA from 1 species